GGGUUGUGAGGUUAAGCGACUAAGCGUACACGGUGGAUGCCCUGGCAGUCAGAGGCGAUGAAGGACGUGCUAAUCUGCGAUAAGCGUCGGUAAGGUGAUAUGAACCGUUGUAACCGGCGAUUUCCGAAUGGGGAAACCCAGUGUGAUUCGUCACACUAUCAUUAACUGAAUCCAUAGGUUAAUGAGGCGAACCGGGGGAACUGAAACAUCUAAGUACCCCGAGGAAAAGAAAUCAACCGAGAUUCCCCCAGUAGCGGCGAGCGAACGGGGAGCAGCCCAGAGCCUGAAUCAGUGUGUGUGUUAGUGGAAGCGUCUGGAAAGGCGCGCGAUACAGGGUGACAGCCCCGUACACAAAAAUGCACAUAUUGUGAGCUCGAUGAGUAGGGCGGGACACGUGGUAUCCUGUCUGAAUAUGGGGGGCCCAUCCUCCAAGGCUAAAUACUCCUGACUGACCGAUAGUGAACCAGUACCGUGAGGGAAAGGCGAAAAGAACCCCGGCGAGGGGAGUGAAAAAGAACCUGAAACCGUGUACGUACAAGCAGUGGGAGCACGCUUAGGCGUGUGACUGCGUACCUUUUGUAUAAUGGGUCAGCGACUUAUAUUCUGUAGCAAGGUUAACCGAAUAGGGGAGCCGAAGGGAAACCGAGUCUUAACUGGGCGUUAAGUUGCAGGGUAUAGACCCGAAACCCGGUGAUCUAGCCAUGGGCAGGUUGAAGGUUGGGUAACACUAACUGGAGGACCGAACCGACUAAUGUUGAAAAAUUAGCGGAUGACUUGUGGCUGGGGGUGAAAGGCCAAUCAAACCGGGAGAUAGCUGGUUCUCCCCGAAAGCUAUUUAGGUAGCGCCUCGUGAAUUCAUCUCCGGGGGUAGAGCACUGUUUCGGCA
rnacentral:rRNA from 1 species